rnacentral:rRNA from 1 species
CCCCGUGGGUAACAUGGGUCACCCUAACNGGUCCGGCCCGCAGCUAGAUGCGGACGCGGGCCCGGAUUAAGUAUGAUCUUAGUAAAACCAUAGAUCCUUUCACACGGCACGGAUGCGGGUCCGGACCCGCGUCCGGGCGAAAUGCUCGUCCGGGUCUCCAUAGCUACGUCCGGGCCUGCGUCCGCAGUUGUCAUUACUGGACAUUGAUCUCUAUGUAGGUUUUCACUUGUUACCUACCGGUCAUUGAUCUUUUUGUUGAUUUCAUUGUUGUUUUCACACCUAGUUAGAUGCGGGUACGGGCCCGCGCCCGCACCGUGUGAAAAGAAACUGCGGGCCCGCGCCGGCGUGUUAGAUGCGGGUCCGGGCCCGCGUCCGCACCGUGUGAAAGAGGCCAUAGCUGCUAAAAUGGAGGGCGAAAUCAAAACUGGUCAGCAUCCAGCUUUGAGGUGGUGGUCGAGCAUCCAUUUGAAAUCAAUGAUGGAGCGGUCCAGCUCAAACCUGAUAUAGUGGCCACUAAAGACGGACAAGCCAAUGUAAUCGAUGUGGUCGUUACGUACGAAUUCGGCGAUCGUCGCCAGCGGUAAGGUUCAGAAAUACUCUGUGCUGAAGGACGUGGUGAGGGAGAGACUUCAGUGUCGGGGGUUUCGGGUCCUUCCGCUGGUGGUCGGUAGCCGCGGAGCCCUUCCGGCUCGUACGAAGAACUGCCUUGAGGAGCUUGGUCUCACAGUAAAUUCUGAUGGUCUGACAAUCUCCAUGAUAGCUCUCAGGUGUUGUUCAGUCGCAAUCGCCGCCAGACAUAUGGACAACGGUUAGGUUUACUGUUAUCUUAAGAUCCCUCUUCAUAUUGUAAAAUCUAGAUGUAUCUUAAGUUUAAUCUAGGAAUAACAGUCUCUUAUUGUAUGUCAAACCUUUUUAUAUGUAAAUUAUUGUUAAAUCACACUAAUCUAGACCUUACUAUCGUAGUUCCCUUUUUGUAUUUUCCUUUUUUUUUAUUUCAAUUUUCUUUUUCUUACGAUUUUGUAUUUAUUAUUUCUAUUUUUCUUAUCUUUUUUAUCAGUUUAUUUUCUUUUUUUUCUCUACAUGUAAGUUCGUACAGAAACUAGGUUAGAGCAAUGUCCGCACGCACAUUCAAAAAAGCAUGUAACCCACGGCGGGAAGCCGAAAUGUAUACUGAAAAUAUAAGUAUUUAAAUAGCCAAAUGCCUGGUCAUCUAAUUAGUGACGCGAUUGAAUGGAUUAACGAGAUUGCCUCUGUGCCUACCUACUAUCUAGCGAAACCACAGCCAAGGGAACGGGCUUGGGAUAGUCAGCGGGGAAAGAAGACCCUGUUGCAGGGCCGAUUUAACUAAAGGAGUGCAAGAGGAUCGGGGCGCAACUCAAAUGGUAAGGGGGGGGGCACGGAUAAACUUUUCAAGGGCAAAAAAUAUAAAUGAGAAAAUGUUUAAAGUAAACCAUAUUAUAUCCCUUGUACAUAACCUUUGCAUAUACUUAACUCUCCCAGUAACCAACUGCUGGGCGGAGAGGAGCUUUUCAGCUCUUAACAGAAUAAAAUCAGUGAAUAGGUCUGUAAUGCGUAAUGUCAAGCUCAACAGUUUACUAUGUACUAUGUGAACAAUGUUAUUAUGUUCGCAAAGUGACAUAACUCUAGANUCGGGAGAUCCAGGGAGAGUUGUCUCUUCUCUAUAAGCGUUCGAGUUCCCUGGAAACCUCUAGCAGGGAGAUAGGGUUUGGAGCGCAAAGAGCACCGCAGUUACGGCGGUGUCUGGAUCUUCCCCUCGGACCUUGAAAAUCCGGGUGAGGGCUACGAGGAACACCGCGCCAGACCGUACCCAUAUCCGCAGCAGGUCUCCAAGGUCAACAGCCUCUAGUCGUUAGAAUAAUGUGGGUAAGGGAAGUCGGCAAACUGGAUCCGUAACCUUGGGAUAAGGAUUGGCUCUGAGGAUCGUGGUGAGCCGGGCUUGGUUGGGAAGUGGAGCGGUGUCAACGAUCCGGGCCUGGGCGAGGAGAGCGUCGCUUCGGCGUCGUCGAUCCUCCGCUCGGUCCCGUGACUUGGCCACCCACGGAUCUUCCUUGCUGCGAGCUGUCGGCUGCCUAGUCACCGGUCUCGGCCGGAGGACGGGCCGGCUGUCUCUUCGGCCACCGAUUAACGGUCGGCUCAGAACUGGCACUGACCAGGGGAAUCCGACUGUCUAAUUAAAACAAAGCAUUGCGAUGGCCCCUGCGGGUGUUGACGCAAUGUGAUUUCUGCCCAGUGCUCUGAAUGUCAACGUGAAGAAAUUCAAUAAAGCGCGGGUAAACGGCGGGAGUAACUAUGACUCUCUUAAGGUAGCCAAAUGCCUCGUCAUCUAAUUAGUGACGCGCAUGAAUGGAUUAACGAGAUUCCCUCUGUCCCUACCUACUAUCUAGCGAAACCACAGCCAAGGGAACGGGCUUGGGAUAAUCAGCGGGGAAAGAAGACCCUGUUGAGCUUGACUCUAGUCUGGUACUGUAAGGAGACAUGAGAGGUGUAGCAUAAGUGGGAGGGCGGCCCGCCGUCCGACAGUGAAAUACCACUACUUUCAUAGUUUCCUUACUUACUCGGUGAGGCGGAGGGCGUCCGCCGGCGGCCUCUCGGCCACGGCGUGACGGUAUUCUUGCGCCAAGCGCCGGGGUUGGCGACGUAGAAGGCCGUCUUAAGCUUCAAAUUUGGGGCCUUACCCUCAAAAACUCUGAAAAAGUUUAAAAUAAAUUAUUUCUCGAAAACGGUUCUGACGAUUUUGAUUA